GUCCGGCUGGCGAAAUGGUAGACGCGCCGUCUUGAGGGGGCGGUGACCGAGAGGUCGUGGAGGUUCGAGUCCUCUGCCGGACACCA
rnacentral:tRNA from 1 species